rnacentral:rRNA from 1 species
GAUGAACGCUGGCGGCGUGCCUAAUACAUGCAAGUCGAGCGAACAGACGAGGAGCUUGCUCCUCUGACGUUAGCGGCGGACGGGUUAGUAACACGUGGAUAACCUACCUAUAAGACUGGGAUAACUUCGGGAAACCGGAGCUAAUACCGGAUAAUAUAUUGAACCGCAUGGUUCAAUAGUUAAAGACGGUUUUGCUGUCACUUAUAGAUGGAUCCGCGCCGCAUUAGCUAGUUGGUAAGGUAACGGCUUACCAAGGCGACGAUGCGUAGCCGACCUGAGAGGGUGAUCGGCCACACUGGAACUGAGACACGGUCCAGACUCCUACGGGAGGCAGCAGUAGGGAAUCUUCCGCAAUGGGCGAAAGCCUGACGGAGCAACGCCGCGUGAGUGAUGAAGGUCUUCGGAUCGUAAAACUCUGUUAUUAGGGAAGAACAAAUGUGUAAGUAACUAUGCACGUCUUGACGGUACCUAAUCAGAAAGCCACGGCUAACUACGUG